rnacentral:rRNA from 1 species
AUUGAACGCUGGCGGCGUGCUUAACACAUGCAAGUCGUGCGGUAACAGGCGUAGCAAUACGUGCUGACGAGCGGCGAACGGGUGCGUAAUACAUGGGAAUCUGCCCUUUAGUGGGGAAUAACCCGGCGAAAGCCGGGCUAAUGCCGCAUAAGAUCUUCGGAUGAAAGCGGGGGAUCGUAAGACCUCGCGCUGAUGGAUGAGCCCAUGUCGGAUUAGCAGUUGGUGAGGUAACGGCUCACCAAGGCGACGAUCCGUAGCUGGUCUGAGAGGACGGCCAGCCACACUGGGACUGAGACACGGGCCCAGACUCCUACGGGAGGCAGCAGGUGGGAAUAUUGGACAAGUGGGGAAACCCUGAUCCAGCGACGCCGCGUGUGUGAAGAAGGCCUGGCGGGUU